UGGUGCUGCGUGGGCCGUGGGAACCACGAGUGGGACUCCAGGGCUCUCCUCUGCAUGAGCAUCCCUGUGGUGCUGCCCUCCUUUUAUCCGCAAGCACUGUGUGGGAGCAGGAUUUCAAGGAAAGAAAAUGAAUGCAUCAUAUCAGGGAAAUUACAUCAGAAUCUCCUAGUUUUGCUGAGCUGGAGAAGGAAAGGAAACCACAGGAAGAGAAGUGCUGGCCAAGAGGCUGCAGCUUUCAGAUUCCAUUUGGGUGCCUGGCAGGGACUAGCCAGAGCCCUAACCCCCACGCCACUGACCCUGCUGCUGCUGCAAUGACCUCACCGGCCAUGAGCCAGGCUGGAGUGUGAAGCUCGGUGGCCAGAGCCCCGACAGCAAUCCCAAGCAGGCAGCUGUAAAGCAACACCAGCAAGCUCCAGGCAGGGUUUUGCUUUGCAACAGCCCCAGCAGUACCACUGUGUCGGGGGGGUGCGGAGCUGCCCAGCCCAGCUCGCAUGCCAUGGCAUGGACACCCCCAGCCACUGCCACUAUUGCUGGCAGAAAACCAGUGGCAGGUGUCAAAUCCCAGCUUAUCCCCAGUUUUGCCACAAAUGCCAGUCCUCACCCUGCUCCACUGGUCAAAGCAGGGAUACAGCGUUAGCUCCAAAGCUCCGUGGCUGGAGCCCUGAUGGGAACCAGGCAGAUGAAGGCUGCUCCAGAUUCCCUGUGCCCACUGGAGACCAGCCCAAAAGCACCCGCAUUUUCAAAUUGUUAUUUUUAAGGAAAUUAUUGAUAUCAGGGAGAAGCCUGUUGUGGCUCAGUUUCCUCCAUUUGCCACCACAGUGGGUGGACAGGCUCUAGAAGCUGCAGGAGGAUUUUCCCCAUGAGAUGAGGUGAUUCCCAGGGACCUGGAGUCCCACAACAUGAGCAGGGCCACCCCCAUCGGUGCCCAUCUCCAGGUUCUGGCUGGGUCUGAAGGACAGUGCUAAACCUCCAGGCACCUCCCCUUCUGAAGCCAUCCUGUUUAAUCCCUUGAUCCAUCUGGGAGAAAAACAAACCAACCCCCAAACCCCACCCAAACCCAACCUUCACCCAUUGUAGGCCUGCACCUGCCUUUAUCCCUGCCUCAAUCCUCAUCCCAUGCACAAGCAGGAGCUGCUUCGUCUUGCGGGGGAGCUGAGGGGUUCAGCCUUAGCCUUUCAGGUUUCACUGCACUCCCAGGGCAUUCCAAGACUAUUCCUGUGUCCCCACAAGGAUACUGAGUCCUGAUGUGACCCCUCUUUUCUCACACAGGAUUUAUGUCAUCUCACUCCAGCUGCAGGUCAACAAGAGAUGUUUUAUUAAACCCAUCAAGGGACAUAGAGGACUGUGGACAGACGACGGCAGGGGAGGGGACGGAGCCAGCUCCAUAACUUAACGAGAUGAGAAUGUACAGGGAGGCCCCGGGGAGCAGAGGAAAGUGAAUGCCUCUGGUCCUGGUCCAGCGCAGCUGCCUGGCUCGCCUUUCCAUUCCUGGAGCCAUCCUUUCCCACUUAUCUGCCUUCUCAGCCCCAGGCACCGAGGACCUCCUGGCCCAGCUGUGGUAAAAGUGGCCUCCUAAGGCCGAUCAAUAACCCCAGGGGAGGAAGAUCGACAGGACAGGAUGGCUGCUGUAGCUGAGGCAGCCAAAGUAAUGAACGUGAUCAAAGCAGCUUUGACAGUAUGCUGGCUGCCUCCGCACAGGGACGGGCCCUGGCUGAAAACCCGAACACCAAGUGAACACCAAACUCCUCUGCUUGAGAUUACAAUCAGGGCUGCGCUGCUCGAGUUGAGUGAUCUCUUCCCCCCGCCCCCAACGGGCUUUGGACUUUGAAAACCCAGAGUUUAAAACUAAAAUAAACCCAAAGCACUAUAU